GACGAACCGUGCAAACGUUAUUCGGAAUCACUGGGCAUAAAGGGCGCGUAGGAGGCUUUCUAAGUCAGGGGUGAAAUCCGGCAGCUCAACUGUCGCAGUGCCUUUGAUACUGGAGAGCUCGAGGGAGGUAGGGGUCUGUGGAACUUCCGGUGGAGCGGUGAAAUGCGUUGAUAUCGGAAGGAACGCCGGUGGCGAAAGCGACGGACUGGAUCUCUUCUGACGCUGAGGCGCGAAAGCCAGGGGAGCAAACGGG
rnacentral:rRNA from 1 species